ACAACUUCAACUGCGCCCCGCAGGGGAAGCCGGUGCGAAACCGGCGCUGACCCGCAACCGUGAGCGCGGCCGCCAUGGCCGUGCGAGCCGGAGCACCCGCGGGGCGCGGCAGGCUCAA
rnacentral:ncRNA from 2 species